rnacentral:rRNA from 1 species
UGGGGAAUAUUGGACAAUGGGCGCAAGCCUGAUCCAGCCAUGCCGCGUGAGUGAUGAAGGCCUUAGGGUUGUAAAGCUCUUUCGCCGACGAAGAUAAUGACGGUAGUCGGAGAAGAAGCCCCGGCUAACUUCGUGCCAGCAGCCGCGGUAAUACGAAGGGGGCUAGCGUUGUUCGGAAUCACUGGGCGUAAAGCGCACGUAGGCGGAUUGUUAAGUCAGGGGUGAAAGCCUGGAGCUCAACUCCAGAACUGCCCUUGAUACUGGCAAAUCUCGAGUCCGGAAGAGGUAAGUGGAACUGCGAGUGUAGAGGUGAAAUUCGUAGAUAUUCGCAAGAACACCAGUGGCGAAGGCGGCUUACUGGUCCGGUACUGACGCUGAGGUGCGAAAAGCGUGGGGAGCAAAACAGGAUUAGAUACCCUGGUAGUCCACGCCGUAAACGAUGGAGGCUAGCCGUUGGCGAGCAUGCUCGUCAGUGGCGCAGCUAACGCAUUAAGCCUCCCGCCUGGGGGAGUACGGUCGCAAGAUUAAAACUCAAAGGAAUUGACGGGGGUCAUAGCUG